rnacentral:lncRNA from 1 species
UCUUGGUUUGUACAUUUCGAUGGGUGUGUGUUGGUUUGUGUCUUAUGUUUUCAUGUUUUAAUGUUUUCAUUUUCAUCAAUGUAUGUUGAUUGUUAUUAUAUGUUGUGUCUUCUUAUGUCAUCUUUCUUAUUAAUAAAGCAUAAUAAUCUUAAAAUCGUGACAGAAAGUGAUGAAGUUUAAGAAAACAUCCAACCAAAAUAACAUCAUCCUACAGAGUUUUAGAAAAGUGAGACAAGUUAAAUACAAGAAGAUAAUGAAAGAGAUAAAUCCUAAGAGUCUUGAGGUGGUUGUUCUUGAGAACAUUGUGGAGCAGGCCCCCAUACAUCAAACACACGACCAGAGAAAUGAGCAAUAUAGCAACCAGACUCUCUUGGAAUAGGAGGCUCACGCUCACUUCCACGAGCUCGACCAAGCCCUCUCCCUCUUCCACGGGGACAACAACGCUUCAUUGCAAGCCUCCUAAUCUCCUCGAGCAUGUUAAUCCA